rnacentral:rRNA from 1 species
UAUCUCUGUAGAGUCUGCAUAUCAAUAAGCGGAGGAAAAGAAACUAACAAGGAUUCCCUUAGUAACGGCGAGUGAAGCGGGAAGAGCUCAAAUUUGAAAUCUUCAAGGUUCUACCUUGACGAAUUGUAGUUUAAAGAAGUGUUUUCUGUUAGAUGAGUAGCAAAAGUUCCUUGGAAUGGGACAUCAUAGAGGGUGAGAAUCCCGUAUUUGGUUAUUCAUUCUAGCUUUGUGAUACACUUUCCAAGAGUCGGAUUGUUUGGGAAUGCAGUCCAAAAUGGGUGGUAAAUUUCAUCUAAAGCUAAAUAUUGGCGAGAGACCGAUAGCGAACAAGUACCGUGAGGGAAAGAUGAAAAGAACUUUGAAAAGAGAGUUAAACAGUACGUGAAAUUGUCAAAAGGGAAGCGUUUGACACCAGUGUUGUUUUUCCGAAAAUCAAUUACGAAUGGCUUGAUUUUGUGUUGUAUUGACCUUAUCAGCUUUCUGCACUUUUUUCGAGUCUUUCUUAAUGCACUUUUCGGUUAACAAGUCAACAUCAAUUUCUUUUGUUGUAAAAGAGUAUUCGGAAGGUGGCUUUCUUUUCGGAGAAAGUGUUUAUAGCCCUAUACUUCUACAAUCGGAGAGAUUGAGGUCUGCAGCGUAGAUCCUUCGGGGUUAGAUACACUUGUGCUAAGUUGUAGCUUUUCAUAGACAACUUGUUGACUAUGUUUAGUCAUGCGGCUUACUCGCUUGUGCUAUUUUACCUACGCUUAGGAUGUUGACUGAUAUGUAGUCGU